ensembl:snoRNA U3 Small nucleolar RNA U3
UGCAGUGACCUUUUGGUUCACUUUAGUGCAUAUGUGUGGAAUCUAAAAUCUACAGUGUCUGAGGUGACGUGGAGUUUUUUCUGAGCGUGAAUCAGAUUUUGGUUUGUGAUAUGUUCGUGGGCUUUUAUCAUGGAUGAACAUUUUCUGUUUCUUAUAAGGUAUGAAAGGAAGAGUACAUGAUCAGA